CGCGUAGGCGGCCAUCUAAGUCAGACGUGAAAUCCCCCGGCUUAACCUGGGAACUGCGUCUGAUACUGGAAGGCUCGAGUUUGGGAGAGGGAUGCGGAAUUCCAGGUGUAGCGGUGAAAUGCGUAGAUAUCUGGAGGAACACCGGUGGCGAAGGCGGCAUCCUGGACCAACACUGACGCUGAGGAGCGAAAGCCAGGGAGCAAACG
rnacentral:rRNA from 1 species